CAUAAUCAUUAGUUUUUUAAUUAAAAACUUGUAUGAAAGGUUAGACAAAAAAGUUUCUGUCUCUUAUUAAAUAAUUGAAUUUAACUUUUAAGUGAAAAGGCUUAAAUUUUUUAAGGGGACGAUAAGACCCUAUAAAGUUUAAUAAAAAUAAUUUUUUUUUAUGAAAUAUAAUAUAAAGUAAAGAAAAAUAGUUUUAUUUUGCUGGGGCGGUAAAGAUAUAAAUAGAUUAGUAACUGUCAAAAUUAAAAACAUUUAAAUUAGUGAAUAAAUAAUGAUCCUAAAUAAAGAUUACAAGAAUAAAUUACUUUAGGGAUAACAGCUUAAUUUUUUUUAAGAGUUCAUAUCGAAAAAAAAGUUUGAGACCUCGAUGUUGAAUUAAAAAUAACUUUGCAGUGCAGCCGUUGUAUAAG
rnacentral:rRNA from 1 species